ACUCCUACGGGAGGCAGCAGUGGGGAAUUUUGGACAAUGGGCGAAAGCCUGAUCCAGCCAUGCCGCGUGCAGGAUGAAGGCCUUCGGGUUGUAAACUGCUUUUGUACGGAACGAAACGGCCUUUUCUAAUAAAGAGGGCUAAUGACGGUACCGUAAGAAUAAGCACCGGCUAACUACGUGCCAGCAGCCGCGGUAAUACGUAGGGUGCAAGCGUUAAUCGGAAUUACUGGGCGUAAAGCGUGCGCAGGCGGUUAUGUAAGACAGUUGUGAAAUCCCCGGGCUCAACCUGGGAACUGCAUCUGUGACUGCAUAGCUAGAGUACGGUAGAGGGGGAUGGAAUUCCGCGUGUAGCAGUGAAAUGCGUAGAUAUGCGGAGGAACACCGAUGGCGAAGGCAAUCCCCUGGACCUGUACUGACGCUCAUGCACGAAAGCGUGGGGAGCAAACAGGAUUAGAAACCCGAGUAGUCCCAUGA
rnacentral:rRNA from 1 species